AGAUGAUGAUAAAACGACCAACGCUUCCAUGAGAGAUAUACUGGGAACAGAAUACACACAACGAGAUCGUUCUUCCACUUUAGGCGAAUUUCGGGAUC
rnacentral:ribozyme from 1 species